GGGAGGGUGAAGGGGAUGGAAUGGGGAGAAGGAAAUGGGCAGUGUGAAAGCAGUGGCUGUCAUCAGCGGGGGAGAUAAGUGCCCCCUGCUCAGAGGCGCUCUUCAAUUCGUGCAGGGCCCCCAAGGGCCAACCCAUGUUAGAGGAAAAAUUAGUGGCCUCUCUCCUGGCCUUCAUGGCUUCCAUAUUCACGCUCUUGGUGAUACCUCCAACGGCUGCAAUUCCACUGGACCUCACUUCAAUCCACUGAACAAGGCCCAUGGAGCUCCUUCAGACAAGGACCGUCACGCCGGUGAUUUGGGUAACGUCACUGCAGGCCCAGAUGGAGUUGCUGAGGUUUCUGUUGACGACUGGCAGAUUCCACUAAGCGGACCUCAUUCCAUUCUUGGGAGGGCGGUUGUAGUGCAUGCUGACCCUGAUGAUCUUGGCAAAGAUGUCAAUAUCAUCACAAGUAAGACUUGAGCGCAGUCGGUCUUCAUGCCCUAAUUUUUUUUCACUGUGGCCAGGUGGACAUGAACUCAGCAAAUCUACUGGGAAUGCAGGAGCAAGAGUUGGAUGCGGUAUAAUUGGCCUUCAGUCGUCUGUUUAAGAGGGAUGUUAAUGGAAGCACAUAGUAGAUGACUUCAUAAAUGUGGCUUCUCUUCUUUUGUAUUUUCAUUUGUGUAAAUUGAUCUUGUGUAAUAAUAGUAUGUGUAUUGGUACAAUAAUGCCACAAGGGGUUAAAAAAAGAAAAAAGAAAGAAAAUAAAUAGACAGCUGCAAGGAUAAAUUACACUAUGAAAGGUAAUCUUUUUGUUUACCACAUCUUGUUUAUCUUGAAUUGUAUGGAAUAAU